AUUGAACGCUGGCGGCAGGCCUAACACAUGCAAGUCGAACGAGUGGCGGACGGGUGAGUAAUGUAUGGGAACCUGCCUGACGGAGGGGGAUAACUACUGGAAACGUUAGCUAAUACCGCAUACCAUCGGAUGUGCCCAGAUUGGAUUAGCUAGUAGGGGGGGAAAAGGCUCACCUAGGCGACGAUCCCUAGCGGGCCUGAGAGGAUGACCAGCCACACGUGAACUGAGACACGGUCCAGACUCCUACGUGAGGCAGCAGUGGGGAAUAUUGCACAAUGGGCGCAAGCCUGAUGCAGCCAUGCCGCGUGUAUGAAGAAGGCCUUCGGGUUGUAAAGUACUUUCAGCGGGGAGGCGUUACCCGCAGAAGAAGCACCGGCUAACUCCGUGCCAGCAGCCGCGGUAAUAC
rnacentral:rRNA from 1 species